AUGGUUUAGUGGGGACUGUUAGCAUUAGGUCAGAGGUUGGACUCGAUGAUCUUGAGGUCUCUUCCAACCUAGAAAUUCUGUGAUUCUGUGAAUGGAAGGACAAAGAGAAGGGGGAAAAAAACGUUUAGAUGUUCGGAUUCUGAGAGAUGUGGUUAAUGGGUUGUGCCCUACAUGGGGGUGGGUAACAAGUGGGCUGCUACUUGAUCUAUCCUGGAAUGAAUUCAACAUGCUUAUCAGGCAUGGAGGAAGUGAUCAUCAGGUUUGCCGAAGACAACAAAUUGACAGGGGGCACAACCACUGGGUGCACUCAAGGACAGAAUUGCAGUCUGGGAGGACUGCAGAAUUGCAGGUGGGAGGAGUGGGCAGACAGGGGCCCCAUGAAAUUUAGCAAGGGCAAAGGCUAAGCCCUGCACUGGGAAGGCAGACCCCUGCAGCAACACUAUCUGGGGACAGGCAACAGGGGACAGCAGUGACAGGAGCAGUGUGAGUGGGGCAUAGACCAAAGAGGCAGAAGAAGGCAGAGACAGCCCCCUCUGCUCAGUGGUCAUCAGACCUUAUCUGGGUACAGCAUUUGGGUUUCAGCCUCCAACUGAAGGAAGGACAUUGAUAAAUCUGGUCAGGUUUGGCAAACAGCAAGAUGCUUCUGGUCUGAAGGGCUGCAGCGCAGGGCUGGCUCAGCCAGGAAAAGGGGCAUCAUUUUAUUCUACAAUUUCAUCUGAAAUGAAUAGCUUAAGAACUUUAUACUUUGACACAUAUUACUACUUCAAGCUCUUGUAGUCUGCAGGCCACAAGAAUGAAGCUUGAACCUUUUUUAUUUAUUUCCUUUAGAGAAUAUUUUCUAGGAAAAACAGUGGGUUUCUAAAUUUCAGUCUGUGUUAUGAGAAGUUCACCAUAACAAACAUUUUUCAAAUAAUGACAUUUACUAAAACCUCAGUACAAAAAUUCAAAUUACAGGUGCAGUUAUUGAUGCAGGAACAACGUGGUCAUUCUGGUUUUCCAGGAAGAAGAGAAUGUUACUUUUUUUCACUGAGCUGCAACAAGAAAAGCACCCACUUUUUUGUUGGUCUCAGGAAGGAACGUGACCCACAUACAUAGCAAUCAGAAACUAUUGCACGGGUAAGCCCAAAAACACAAGUAAGGCAUGCAAAAACCCCGCUGCUCAUGCUGCAAAAGGUCGGGCAGCCAAAAAAAAAAGCACAGUCUGGAAGGCCUCAAUUUUGCCUGCAGUGACAGGCUUUUUGCUCUUUGAAGGAUGAGGCUCUGACCCACACACACAGACUAUGGUAAAUCCCAGUAGUCUGGGGCAUACAGAAAGGCUCCAGCUCUUUCCAAGCUCAGCGUACCAUGACUCAUCUAUCUCUUGAGACAAAGGAACAAGAAUAAGCAAGUAGAAGGACAUCCUGUAUUAUUUAAGACUUUCAGAAAUGAAUAGAAAUACUGGAGCAAUUGAUUACAAAGAAGAACAUAAAAUCAGUAAAAGUCAGAGGUGAAGCAGCCACAUUAACUUGUCUCGCAGGGGAUGCCUCUUGGUACAGAUUUUACUUUAUGAGCUGCAAUAAGUACAGAGAGGAGAGGUGAGAAGUAUUCCCAGUCCCAGUCAUUUGAAUAUGAAUGAAAGUCCAGAAGACCAGUUUGGCACAGCUCAGCUACUGAAAUGAUAAGGAUUAAGAAGGCCAUAAUAAGUCAGUAGCAGGGAGUAUACACUAUCAGUGCUUUAAUUCAUUUUAGUGUUUUUUAUAUGCUGCAAAUUGGAAGGAAACUAAAUCAAUGUCUGUUCAGCUUGAAAAAUUUAUGGCCUGACUUCCUUGGAUGUUACAGUUUGCUUUUAAAAGAAAUACACAGACAAGUGUACCAACAAACAGUCCAAUUUACUCUGUACGAUGUUCUUGAAAGGGGAAACAAAUGUGCAAAAUUCACAGAAAUCCUCAGCCUGGAACAGAAGAAAAUGCCUCACUCAGCAAUUUGUCUUCUUAAGCAUACGAGCUGACACAGUUAGCUACAAAGAGGUAUUGUCACAGGAUCCCUUGGCACGUUAGAGUUUCUGUGCUCAAGUCCAUCAUGUUCGAUUGUUUAUGGUUCAUGGACCUUAGAGGUAUGGCUAGACAAUACUGCCCUGUGCUGCGUAAGGAGUUACAGCUGCUUUUGGAUUAGGUACGUAUGAAAGGCCAUUAAAUAGCUCUCGUGGUAAGCAAAUGGAAAGUAUAUUCCAUUCAUUCUGCUAUUUGUCUCCCAUUUCAUUUAGGGCAAAUCUCUAUUCUAUGCAUCACUUUUUCCACCUGUAACAAGUCACAAGAGCUUGGUGAAUAUUAACUAGAUCCUGUAAGGCUCUAGUGGAGUAUGGGGGUACACAUGUGCAUGUAUGCACACUCAUACAUAUAAGUGCAUGUGUACAGUCAGAUUUUGUAUAAGUAUGGCCAAUGUCACCUCUCAGACAAAUUUUAGCAAAAGCUUGAGAUGGUUUCUAGUGCUCUGCUACUGUGGUUUUCCCAGUAGGUAGAGUAUCUGAUGUGCAUCAUAAAAACUUCACUGUUGUUGUAAUAUUUUGCGUUAAGCAUGCUGUGCUUAAGGAGAUAGAGAACCAAAAUUGCAUGAAUAAUUUUUAUGCAACCACAUAAAUGAAAUGUUUUUAUUCUGCAAAUUGUACUGCACUAGUCUGAGAUGCAAACAGCAAGUUUGAAAGUUACAAGGCAUGUAAACAGAAAAUAAUGUGUCAUUGACUGGAUUUUAAAUACAGAACCGUAGAAAGCUCACUGGAGGUCAUCUACUACACCCCCAAAGCAGGGCUAGUUUCAAAGUUAAAUCAGGCUGCUCAGGGCCUUGUCUGGAAAAGUUUUGAUCAUCCAUGGGAUGGAGCUGCCACAAACUUGGGUUAGCCUAGUGCAGGGCUACAGCUCUCACAUCCUGAAGAAUUUAGAGUAAUUUUUUUUUUCUAUGAUGUGUUAAAUCCAUACUUUUCCUUUUGCACCUGGAGAAGGCUUUCUCUUGUCCUUUUGUCCUGAGAAAAGUCCUUCUGUUUUUACUCUUUGCCCACGCUUGUACCCAGGGGCCAGUACAGGAGGGGCACACAAUGGCAUCAGGUGACAUCCUGGCUGUAUUCAGGUUCAGCAGCCCUUCACAGCCCAUGUGCACACUGCUGACUCAAGAUCUGUCAGUCCACCAGGACAUCCAAGUCCUUUUGUGCCCUGCUUCUUUAUGGAAAUAACUAAAUAUCUCACAAUUCUCAAACUAGGUCAGCCUUUAUUGCUCAGUUGCUCACCAAUAUAUCAUUACGAUGUUCGUUUCUUUUAGAGUGCAGUCAGCAAGACUUUCUGGUACUGUGCCACAAUACAUGGUGAUAUUCUUUGAAAACACUAAGGGACUGAAUACAGAUGUCAACCAUUAAAGAAAGUGUUCUUCUUUGGCACAAUUAACAUAAUGCUCUUAAUGAAAGUAAAUGUACUUCAGGAUUAGGUAAGGCUUUUGAGCAUAAAGACAUGCUUAAUUUUUCUGUCAAAUAAGAGCCACAGUCAGUAGGUCUGAAGCUGCUCAGGUUACAUGGGAAGUUCAGGAAUAAUUUGGACUGGCUUUAUGGUGCUCAGAAGUCUCAUACAUGCUUACCACAGUCAUGUAUUAACAUACUCAGCACAAGUGCACUUUCAGAAACUGCAAGCUAAUAAUAGGAGCAAAGGCCUUAAGCAGAUAGCAUGGAUGGCCUUCAGCUGCUUCUGCUUACUUUUAUAAGACUCUGCCACUAAGAACAUUAAAAAGGAAGAUUCCUCUUAAAUUUAACAGAAUCAUAACACAUUUCUGUGACUGUGACCCUUAUUACUGUACUAAAAUAUCUUUGUCCUAUAUAAGUGCAGAGUUUAUCAAACAAGUAAGGUGAAAGUGAGAAAAAUAAAGUGAAUGGAGCUGAUGAGCACAUUCAUCCCAAAGACAUCAAAUAAAAAUCAAAUUAAUGCAACUUGCAUCACUAUACUAUUUAUUUUGUCUUGACAGCAAAGGACACUGGCAUAACAUUUGGACGCACUCUGCCAGCCUGCUCAGCUGUUGCUGUUUUAAAAAUGAAUAAUUGAAUAAAACCUGUUGUUAAAAACAGGUCAAAAAAAAAAAAAAAAAAAGGAAAAAAAAAAAGAAAAGUCUGAUGACAUUAAAAAA